CUUAGCCUCCGGUGCUGCUGGGAUGACAGGCAUGUACCAUGGCACUUGGUAUUGCUUACACAUCUAGAACCCAGGCAGGGGUGGCUGACAGGCUAGAUUCGUCCAGUCCUAUCCAGCAGAAUGGUCUUUCCAGCACACAGGCUAAGAGGAUGGAACUUGUCACACAAUGACUCGGGACUCCAAUAGCAAAUAAAUGGUCCAGCUGACAGGAAGAAACAUACCCUUUUAUGACCAGCCUCAGAGGUUACAUGGAAGUACUUUGGUCAUCUUCCUCUGGCUGAAAUAGUCACAAAUCCUACCCAAAUUCAAGGGGAGAGGACACAGACCUCACCAAUGGAAGGAGUGUCCAAAAAUCGAAGUAUGUUUUAAAAGCAUGGUAACUGGGCCAGGAGUGCAGCUCAGAGUAGAGUGCUUCCCUGGCGUGGGAAGGCCCCGGAUUCCAUGCCCAACGCCAAACAAACUAAACUAGAACACAAGCAUCAUAAUGGCCCAGCUGUUCCGGUUUCCCACAGUCCUCCACGCCCCCUGCCCCUUUCUUCCAUGCUCCUCGUCUGCUGGUAGCCACACUCGCCCUGGUGAGGCAGCCAGCGCUCACCUCCUCUCCCAGAAAGGAUCUAAAACACUCAUUUAUCGAACGUGUCAAGGUUCUUCACAUGUUGCUCCCCUGAGGCGCAUUUUCACUUUAAAAUGGUGGCCCCAGAAUGGCGCAGCAUAACCAAAGGAAUGCAUCCCUAAUGGUGGAAUUCCAGGCAUUUACCACAGGCCAAAAGGGGCUAUAUUUUUCGGCCAAGGGACUUUCCUGUUGCAGACAGCUGCUUGUUCCUUUUCCCCUGAAACUGUAAACACUGAACUGCAGCCACCAGGGCUCUCUCUAAAAACAGCCUGGACAGCAGCUUCUGUCCAGUGGUUCUCCAACUGUCCCUGAGAGUCAGUCCUCAGAUGACACAGAAGGGGAGGGGGUGAUGUGGUGGCCAAAAUUUGUUUGAAAUUUAAAAUAUUGCUGUAGCGGUUCCUUGGAACUCUCUAUUUUUCUCUUUAUCGUAUUCCUCAAAACUCACAGACCUGGAUGUUAGAAAUGGGGAAUGUAGGAUAACACCUUGUUCUAGGAUAAUGCUUAUUUCAUCACACACACACACACACACACACACACACACACACACACACGAGCCACCUAUUGAUUCUGGCUCUCUUCCUUCCGCCUAUAGUUCUGAUGCAAAUCAAAUUCAGUCCAAGGCUGAUUUCAAAUAGGUGAGGAGUCUUCUCUGAGCAUGGCCAAGGGUGACUGCUUUUGAAGGACGAGGGGCUCCAGGUCCCACCUCCAAACAAAACUUGUCUAGUCCCUAGAACUCCCAGACCCUGUGGCCACAAGGGGGUCUCCAGGACCUCUUUUCCUAGACCAAAUGCUUCUAGGAAUCUUUUUCUCAAGCCAUAUAAAAGCCAGGUGUCGGUUCAGCUGGGCUUUACUUUGCAAACAGUGCUGGUGUUUGGUUAAGAGUUAUUUAUGGAUCUUUAUGCACAAAGCCUGUUGCUAGGAGCAGGAAACCUCGGGCCUGGCCUCAGCUCCGCUGUGACUUGCUAUGGGAUCCUGGGCAUGUCCUCUCUCUCUCUCUCUCUCUCUCUCUGGGUUUCUGUCUCUUCAUGUAGAAACUAAGGGGUUGUGUUAUUUGAUCUCUAAGAUCCUGUGAGACCUGACAUCUUGUGAUUCUUCAAUAAAUCAGAAAGUGGAGUCAGUAACCAGCCAGGUGGUGUAAUCUUGGCAACUUAGGAGGCUGAGGCAGGAGGAUUGCAAGUUUGAGGCCAGCCUCAGCAAUGUAGCAAGAUCCUGCCUCAAAAUAAAAUAAAAUAAAGGGCUGGGCGUGUAGCUGAGUGGUAGAGCACUAGUAUGCAUGAGGAUCUGGGUUCCAUCUCCAGCCCUGUAAAAAAAAUGAUGAAAGGUGCUGAGAUCCACGGCCGAGUCUGUAUGGCCCCUGGCAUUUUGCCAACAGUAUUGAUUGACAGGCGAGGCAUUACUAUCCGCCUCUGCCGCUACUUUUGAGUUCUCG
rnacentral:lncRNA from 1 species